rnacentral:tRNA from 11 species
CGCGCUGGGAUUUGAACCCCAGACAUCUGACAUGCGAGGUGAGCGUGUUGCCACUACUCCACCAACGC